CCCUCCCCACAAAAAAAAUUGGUGUUAAAAAUUCCCCAUUUUGUGGGGUGGGGUCUUGGAAAAAUCCUCCUAAAAAAAUCUGUGAUGAAAGAGCCCUGACCCCUCCCCCAAAAAAAUAUUUGGGAGGGGGGUCUUCCCUCGCCCACCCACCCAGAAAAAGGCUGAGGGGAGACCCCUCCCCACAAAAAAAUUUGGGUAAAAAUCGCCCAUUUCUUCCCCAAAAAAUUAAUUUGUGGGGUGGGGUCUGGGAAAAAUUCUUCUAAAAA